rnacentral:misc_RNA from 1 species
AAGACUAUAGACCUGCGGAGUACCUGCGGAAGGAUCAUUAUUGAAUAAACUUGGUCAAGCUGUUGCUGGUCCUUCGGGGCAUGUGCACGUUUGCCACCAAUUUUAACCACCUGUGCACCUUUUGUAGAUUGGAAACGUUUCUCGAGGCAACUCGGAUUUGAGGACUGCUGUGCGCAAGCCGGCUGUUCUUGUGUUUCUCAAUCUAUGUUUUCAUAUACUCCUAAUGUAUGUAUCAGAAUG